rnacentral:rRNA from 1 species
UACAGAGGUGGCAAGCGUUGUUCGGAAUUACUUUUCUUAAAUUUCGCUUAUGCGGCCUUCUAAUUCAUACUUGAAAUCCCCCGGCUUAACCUGGGAACUGCGUCUGAUACUGGGAGGCUUGAGUAUGGGAGAGGGAUGUAGAAUUCCAAGUGUAGCGGUGAAAUGCGUAGAUAUCUGGAGGAAUACCGGUGGCGAAGGCGGCAUCCUGGACCAUUACUGACGCUGAGGCGCGAAAGCUAGGGGAGCAAACGGG